GGAGUAUUCUCGGCAGACACCUGCAUAAAAGCGCUGCCCCAAGAAUCUCUACUUUCCCCACAUCACAUCAAAAUGUGGAACAUGGACCCAUUAAAAGAAAAAGUCAUCAGACAGUUUAAGCAUAGAUACAAUCUUCCAAAAUGAAAUAAAUACAACCCCAAGAGAAAGACAUCUAGUCCUUAUACAGCCACCUAAUCUGAUCAUGCUACAAAACUACACCACCCUGAUGAUCUCCACGCGCCCCGCAAGAUCCUCCCGACACAGCUUUGGUCAAGUAUGACUAACUACUUUCCCAUCUCCAAGGUACUAACCGGUAGGAUGAUCCUGUUUCUCAUAUGAGGGCAAAGCCCAGAUUUCCACAAUAAUUGUAAAGGUCACCAACCGAAAUUAACAAAUAUCACAUAGCAAAAUUCUUAUAUUUUCAAAUGCUCAAAAGAACCUUUCGUCUUAGCAUACUCCUCGAAAAGGGUUUUCAUAUGUCCAAAAAUGCAUAAACAAUGUUGAAAAAUGAAGUUUUAACAAACUGCACUGUCAUAGCAGAAUACAAUAGAGAAAAUGCAGAUUUUCAGUUCUAAAAUAGCUCUGAAUCAGACAACACUUUGAAUAUUCAUUAAAUCAAUUAUGAACACAUAAAACUUAAUCAACCCAACUUCACACCUCAAAGCAAUUACGACAAAUCACAACAACAAUCGAAUAUGUAUAUACAAUC
rnacentral:lncRNA from 1 species